rnacentral:rRNA from 1 species
GAUGAACGCUGGCGGCGUGCCUAAUACAUGCAAGUCGAGCGAAUGGAUUAAGAGCUUGCUCUUAUGAUGUUAGCGGCGGACGGGUGAGUAACACGUGGGUAACCUGCCCAUAAGACUGGGAUAACUCCGGGAAACCGGGGCUAAUACCGGAUAAUAUUUUGAACUGCAUGGUUCAAAAUUGAAAGGCGGCUUCGGCUGUCACUUAUGGAUGGACCCGCGUCGCAUUAGCUAGUUGGUGAGGUAACGGCUCACCAAGGCAACGAUGCGUAGCCGACCUGAGAGGGUGAUCGACCAGUCUGGGACUAAGACACGGCCCAGACUCCUACGGGAGGCAGCAGUAGGGAAUCUUCCGCAAUGGACGAAAGUCUGACGGAGCAACGCCGCGUGAGUGAUGAAGGCUUUCGGGUCGUAAAACUCUGUUGUUAGGGAAGAACAAGUGCUAGUUGAAUAAGCUGGCACCUUGACGGUACCUAACCAGAAAGCCACGGCUAACUACGUGCCAGCCGCCGCAGUAA